CACCAGUUCUGUCAGGGGAGCUCAGAAAGUGAGCAUUGGUCCCUGAAUGCAGAGACAUUUCCCUGAGAUGGAAACCCACCCCUUUCAAGCAAGUAUGGCACUCUGCAGGGAUGAGAUUUUCGAUCAUCUGAUGUGACAGUGGCUGCACGGAAGCAUGGAAGAUUGAAGAUGCACACAAAGUAGAAGAGUGAAGACUGAACUUUGCAGAAUGCCUCCAAGCCAUAUACAGAAAUUACUGAACCCAGGACAAGAAAAUAUGUCUAGAAUCUAGGAGGAUAUUCCUUGGAGAGUCAAGUGGCUGACCCCCUCAGUUUAGAAGAGCAUUGUACUUGGCUAAUAGUAUUUAUUCAUGUGUAACACAGAUUGCCAGUAAUGGCACAGAUACCAUCAUGACUGGCUAGUAGAAAGUCUAAAGCUACCAGAUUUUCUAUUUCACGUGAGUCAAAUAGUUGAGACUCAUCAUUCAGCUUUGAGAGCUGUGAAAGUGUUCUUUAAAACUUCGGACAAGGUUAACAAUAAAUUUCUGGUCACCUAUUCCAAUUAUAUAACCCUCAUUGUAGAAACCAUUACCCAGAUGUUGUGCAUAAAAAGUGAAUCAAUAUUUCCUCUGGGUAACUGUCCUGAAUAGCCUAUCAUGGCUUCAUCUUACAUGUUCCUAGGGACAUGCCUCAAUGACACAAUGUCCAAAAAGGGACCCAGGAUCUUGGAUUUCUGAAGUCUCUGACAAUUACCCUGCAGGCACAAGGUAAGUUAAAGUGAGGGAAACAGGUGAAGGCUUGACUUCCCUUGUAAAAAUAACACACCACUGCAGUGUAGGUGCCAUUUAAGAGUAGUGUGCCAAUUAUCUCUUCCUUGAGAAAAGCAAAUGGCCUGGGUGUAGCCAAAUAACUCCUAAAGCUCUUGUGCUGAACCCCUAUUAACCUCAAUAGGGAAGUUACCAGGUUCAAGAGGACAAAGAAGAGAUUUGGAGCCAGCAAAUGAGACAUGUGGUUUUAUAAGGGGCUUACACAGAGGCGAGGGAGUCCAGUGGCAGUAGGCUACAUAGAAAAAUCACCUUAUAUACAGUCCAGUGGUGCAGGCUGGACAAGAUAACAGCCAGUCCAGUGAGCACGCCAGUGAACAGUCCAGUGACAGUGGCCACCUUACAUAGUCCAGUAGCAACAGGCUGGACAGGAUAUCUGCCUUACCGAUAGUCCAGUGGCAGUGGGCUGGGCAAAAUAACCACCUCACCUACAGUCCAGUGGUGGCAGACUGGACAAGAUAUCUAUCUUACACACACACCAGUGGUGGUGGGCUGGAUGAGCUAACCACCUUACUUAUAGUCCAGUGGCAGCAGACUACAGUCCAGUGGUGGCAGGCUGUAGUGAAGGGCUGGACAAGAUAUCCAUCUUACAUGUAGUCCGUUGGUGGUGAACUGGGCAAGAUAAUUGCAUGGCCCAGUGGUGGUGGGCUGGUCAGGAAAGCCACAAUGGCUUACAAACAGCAUUUUCAUUUAUCACCCUCUACUUAUGAACCUCUUCAUCAUAGCCAUCUUUUAACCCAAACUCAGGGCCUCA
rnacentral:lncRNA from 10 species